UGGGCGGCAGGAGCUGCGGGCGCCUCAGUCUUUUUGGGUUCCCCUUCCUCCUUGCUGGGCUCCUCCCCGGCGGCAGGGGCCGCGCUCUCGGCCGGGGCCGCGGCGGCCUCAGCAGCUUUGGGGGCCUCGCCGCCCGCAGCGGGGCCGGGGGCCGCCUGCUCCUGCUCGGGCGCCUUCGGGGGCUCAGCCUUGGCCUCUGCCGCGCCCUCCGUCUUCUCGGGCUCCGCCUUCGGGGCCUCCUCCUUGGCAGCCGCCGCGUCCUUCUCGCCCUCCUUCUCCUCGGCCUUGCCCUCGGCGUCCUGGUCGGGCUUCUCCUUGCCCUCCUUGGCCUCGGCGGGCUCUGCGGCCGCCUGGGGCUCACUCUCCUUCGGGGUCCCCUCCUCUUCCGUCGCCGCGCCCUCGGCCUUCUUGUCUUUCUCCUUGGCUUUCUCGUCGUUCACAUUGUAGCCCUUCUUCUUCUUGCUGAGCUUGCCUCCCAUCUUGGAGU
rnacentral:lncRNA from 1 species